AGAGAAGUAAUUAAGGGCGUACGGCGGAUGCCUAGGCUCACAGAGGCGAUGAAGGACGUGAUAAGCUGCGAUAAGCUGCGGGGAUUGGCACACACAAUUUGAUCCGCAGAUUUCCGAAUGGGGAAACCCACUAUAUUGAAGAUAUAGUAUCCGUUAAGGAGGUAAACCCAGGGAACUGAAACAUCUAAGUACCUGGAGGAAAAUAAAACAAAAGUGAUUCCGUUAGUAGUGGCGAGCGAACGCGGAUUAGCCCAAACCAAAGU
rnacentral:rRNA from 1 species